rnacentral:rRNA from 1 species
CCUACGGGAGGCAGCAGUGGGGAAUAUUGCGCAAUGGGCGAAAGCCUGACGCAGCGACGCCGCGUGAGGGAUGAAGGUCUUCGGAUCGUAAACCUCUGUCAGCAGGGAAGAACGGUCACUGUGCUAAUCAGCAGUGAAUUGCCGGUACCUGCAAAGGAAGCACCGGCUAACUCCGUGCCAGCAGCCGCGGUACUACGGAGGGUGCGAGCGUUAAUCGGAAUUACUGGGCGUAAAGCGCUCGUAGGCGGUAUGUCAAGUCAAGGGGGAAAUCCCCGCGCUCAACGUGGGAACUGCCUUUGAAACUGGCAAACUGGAGUGUGUGAGAGGAUAGUGGAAUUCCAGGUGUAGGAGUGAAAUCCGUAGAUAUCUGGAGGAACAUCAGUGGCGAAGGCGACUAUCUGGCACAUAACUGACGCUGAGGAGCGAAAGCGUGGGUAGCAAACAGGAUUAGAUACCCGGGUAGUC